GUGCUCACUUUAGCAGUACUUUUACUAAAAUUGGAAUAAGAGAGAAAAGAAUAGCAUUGCCUCUGCACAAUGAUGACAUGCAAAUUACCAAAGCAUUCUAAAUUUUU
rnacentral:snRNA from 1 species